rnacentral:sRNA from 1 species
UGGGUCGGGUAUGUAAUUUCCAGCGGC